rnacentral:rRNA from 1 species
AACAAACGCUGGCGGCGUGCCUAAUACAUGCAAGUCGAACAGGGAAAGCUUUCGGGUGAGUACUAGUGGCGUACGGGUGAGUAACGCGUGGAUAAUCUGCCUUAGAGUGGGGGAUAACUAGUCGAAAGAUUAGCUAAUACCGCAUAAGACCACAAGAACUGCGGUUCAAGGGGUCAAAGGUUUUUCGCUCUAAGAUGAGUCCGCGUAAGAUUAGCUAGUUGGUAGGGUAACGGCCUACCAAGGCGACGAUCUUUAACUGGUCUGAGAGGAUGAUCAGUCACACUGGAACUGAGACACGGUCCAGACUCCUACGGGAGGCAGCAGUAGGGAAUAUUGCACAAUGGAGGAAACUCUGAUGCAGCGACGCCGCGUGAGUGAUGAAGGCCUUCGGGUCGUAAAGCUCUGUCGCAGGGGAAUAACACAAUGAAGGUACCCUGUAAGAAAGGAUCGGCUAACUUCGUGCCAGCCGCCGCCGUAAAAC